ensembl:lncRNA
ACUCUGGAACAAGCCUACUACAGCGGCUAUAAAGACACUAUUGAUUUUCUUCUGCGCAGUGGUGGGUGAGAAUACAGGGGCUGAAUUUUUGUUACAUGCAGACUCAACCUCACCUUCCUUAUCUUGUUUCUGUUUCACGUUUUUUUCCCCUGGUGUGCAGAUCUUUUCCCACGGCUAACGAUACACAAAAUAUCCCAAGGGCAACUUAACGCUAACCAAACCACGGCACGGAUCCACCUGGAGACCACCAUGGAGGAGGAGGAGGAGAUAAAGGCCGAAAAGGAGAAGGCUACAUUAACCGCUUUUGAAGACAUUAGAAACAUGCCGAUGGGCAACAAUGACCCAGAGCAGAGAUUGGAGCUGGUGUUCAGGCAGGCUCCGGAGUUGGUUUUCUGGGCCUGGCAUAGCAUGAGACAUUUUUUCUUCUUCUUUUUCAAGAUACUUGUCGGCAGCCUCAAGAAGAAUACAAAGGACAGGGUUAUGCCCAUCAUCAUGUUUAUGAAGUGGCUGAAAAUUCUGGCUCAAUUUGAGGCUCUACGAGGACAGAGGCCCACAGCAACCCGGAAUAAGUCGUCUGACCAUUCAGAAAAUGACAAGCAUUGGUAUCUCCUCAGACAGUUCAUCACUCCAUCACGGGAUAAGAAGAAACCAAAGACACAUUAAAACUGUAUUCUUUGUACGUCCUGUCACAUGGAUUUUGUGUCGUCAGCUCUUUUGAGUCCAUAUGCCAUGGAUCUGAGCUUUGUUUUGUUUACGGUGGCUUUAUUUUAACUAAGCUGGUGAAAAUGUUUCUGAGUUUUCAUGAAUUGUAUCAGUGAGUCUGCAGAGCGCAGACAUCCAACAAGGCUUAGAUGUUGUAGUAAUCAAUUCUUCUACAGUCAAAUUUACUGGAUUUGUGGUAUUACAUUAUAUGAAGCUAAUAACACUGACCCUAACCCCAACACAGGACCCUAACCCCAACACAGGAGUUAGCAUGGGACAGAAAAGUUCCAUGAGUAUAACCAGUGUUUACUCGGAAGGUGAAAAAUGUAAAAAAAAAAGAGAAAAGCCACGGGCUAACCAAAAUCAAUGUCUACGUGUUGGUGGUGUGAAUGAGGUCAUACUGAUGUUUUUAUAGUGAUGCUUGCUUGGGAAGAGAAAGCUUGGCCUGAUGUGACACUUGGUAAUUGCGGUCUCAGAAGUCAUUUAUUUGUAUUGCUCUGACGACUAGUCUUUACAUACCACCUCCCUGAUGAAUAGAAUUAUCAACACUGCUUAAUCUAUUAAAUAUCAGUGAAGUGUUUUAUAGCUUGCAGUGGGUUUUUCCCCCCUCAAAACAACAAUGUGUGAUACCACUGUGUGUAAGAGAUAUGUCAUGAAUUCUUCCAUUUUAGUUUUUUUAUAUUCCCAAAAUAAAAACACAUUUUGAGUAAAGUUGCAAACUUAGCUGCAGGGCACUUAUCUAGAGUCCUUCAUUUUAUUUACCAAUAAGAGGUGACAGCUAGUCCCGUGAUGAGCUAUUUGAACACUGCACCCUUUCACUACUUGUCCCCCAGUGAAGUAGUUGCUUCUCCCCCUUACACUGCUCCAAUGUUUAGCCUCAGUGGCUUCCGGCUGGGGCUAAUGGGCUAAAUUUCUGCAGAAAAUUCAAGGAAUUCUGACAAAUGAAUGAAUGAAUCAUUGUUUUGUUUUUUUACUUUGCACUGUCACAUUUGAUGUUUGAGGAGCAGAAAUAUUUGACUCCAUUUGGCUCGGGAUUAAGAUCAAAUUACUUAAUAGAUGAUGCUGCUCUUAUUUGUCAUGUACAGUGUCUUUUUAUUGUUGCUGUUGAUGGUUAUUAACCAGCUCAUGCUUUAUGCUAGGGCAAAAUGAUAGGAAUGAAUAAAUGCUAACUAACAAAACUUGGUUUUGAAU